UACGGAGGGUGCAAGCGUUAUCCGGAUUCACUGGGUUUAAAGGGUGCGUAGGUGGUUUUGUAAGUCAGUGGUGAAAGCCCGGAGCUCAACUCCGGAACUGCCAUUGAUACUGCUUAACUUGAAUCAAGGAGAGGUGGAUGGAAUAUUACAUGUAGCGGUGAAAUGCUUAGAGAUGGAAUAGAACACCGAUUGCGAAGGCAGUUCACUAGGCUUGUAUGGACACUGAGGCACGAAAGCGUGGGGAUCAAACAGG
rnacentral:rRNA from 1 species